ACCAUCCUAAGGUAGCGAAAUUCCUUGUCGGGUAAGUUCCGACCUGCACGAAUGGAGUAACGACUUCCCUACUGUCUCAACCAUGAACUCGGCGAAAUUGCAGUACGAGUAAAGAUGCUCGUUUCGCGCAGCAGGACGGAAAGACCCCGUGACCUUUACUAUAGUUUGGUAUUGGUGUUUGGUUUGGCUUGUGUAGGAUAGGUGGGAGACUGUGAAGCAUGGACGCUAGUUUGUGUGGAGUCGUUGUUGAAAUACCACUCUGGUCAAUCUGGAUGUCUAACUUCGGGCCAUGAUCUGGUUCAGGGACAGUGCCUGAUGGGUAGUUUAACUGGGGCGGUUGCCUCCUAAAGUGUAACGGAGGCGCCCAAAGGUUCCCUCAGCCUGGUUGGCAAUCAGGUGUUGAGUGUAAGUGCACAAGGGAGCUUGACUGUGAGACUGGCAGGUCGAGCAGGGACGAAAGUCGGGACUAGUGAUCCGGCGGUACGUUGUGGAACGGCCGUCGCUCAACGGAUAAAAGGUACCUCGGGGAUAACAGGCUGAUCUUGCCCAAGAGUCCAUAUCGACGGCAUGGUUUGGCACCUCGAUGUCGGCUCGUCGCAUCCUGGGGCUGGAGUCGGUCCCAAGGGUUGGGCUGUUCGCCCAUUAAAGCGGUACGCGAGCUGGGUUCAGAACGUCGUGAGACAGUUCGGUCCCUAUCCGCUGCGCGCGUUGGAAAUUUGAGAAAGGCUGUCCUUAGUACGAGAGGACCGGGACGGACGAACCUCUGGUAUGUCAGUUGUACCGCCAGGUGCAUGGCUGAUUGGCUACGUUCGGGAGGGAUAACCGCUGAAAGCAUCUAAGCGGGAAGCCUGUUUCGAGAUGAGAUUUCCUGGCACUUUUUGGUGUGUGAGGCUCCUUAUAGAUGAUGAGGUUGAUAGGCCGGGUAUGGAAGCGGGGACUGAAGACUCGUGGAGUUGACUGGUACUAAUAGGCCGAAGGCUUACUUUU
rnacentral:rRNA from 1 species